CAGUAGCCACGGUAACACGGAGGGGGCUAGCGUUGUUCGGAAUUACUGGGCGUAAAGCGCACGUAGGCGGCUUGGUAAGUUAGAGGUGAAAGCCCAGGGCUCAACCCUGGAAUUGCCUUUAAGACUGCCGAGCUAGUAGGUGAGAGAAGUGAGUGGAAUUCCGAGUGUAGAGGUGAAAUUCGUAGAUAUUCGGAAGAACACCAGUGGCGAAGGCGGCUCACUGGCUCAUUCUAGACGCUGAGGUGCGAAAGCGUGGGGAGCAAACAGGAUUAGAGACCCGCGUAGUCCCUGUCUCUUAUAC
rnacentral:rRNA from 1 species